rnacentral:rRNA from 1 species
AUUGAACGCUGGCGGCAUGCCUUACACAUGCAAGUCGAACGGUAACAGGUCUUCGGAUGCUGACGAGUGGCGCACGGGUGCGUAAUACAUCGGAACGUGCCCGCUCGUGGGGGAUAACGAGGCGAAAGCUUUGCUAAUACCGCAUACGAUCUACGGAUGAAAGCGGGGGAUUUUCGGACUUCGAGCGGACGGAGCGGCCGCUGGCGGAUUAGGUAGUUGGUGGGAUAAAAGCUUACCAAGCCGACGAUUUGUAGCUGAUCUGAGAGGAUGAUCAGCCACACUGGGACUGAGACACGGCCCAGACUCCUACGGGAGGCAGCAGUAGGGAAUUUUGGACAAUGGGCGAAAGCCUGAUCCAGCCAUGCCGCGUGCAGGAUGAAGGCCUUCGGGUUGUAAACUGCUUUUGUACGGAACGAAAAGCCUCUUUCUAAUAAAGAGGGGUCAUGACGGUACCGUAAGAAUAAGCACCGGCUAACUACGUG